AUCCAAAUGACGAUUCCCAAAUGGGAAGAAAUGCGCAUCCUGGAU
rnacentral:hammerhead_ribozyme from 1 species